rnacentral:tRNA from 1 species
GCCAAUGUAGCUCAGGGGUAGAGCAUCCCGACGUGAGGUCGGGAGGGCCGGGGGUUCACCCCCUCCGCUGGGCA